rnacentral:rRNA from 1 species
GAUGAACGCUAGCGGCAGGCCUAAUACAUGCAAGUCGAACGGGAUCAGGGAGCUUGCUCCCUGUGAGAGUGGCGCACGGGUGCGUAACACGUAUGCAACCUACCUUCAACUGGGGGAUAGCCUUCCGAAAGGAAGAUUAAUACCGCAUAACAUAAUUGAAUGGCAUCAUUUGAUUAUCAAACGUCAGGGUUGAAGAUGGGCAUGCGUCCGAUUAGCUAGUUGGUGUGGUAACGGCACACCAAGGCGACGAUCGGUAGGGGAUCUGAGAGGAUGACACCGCACACUGGUACUGAGACACGGACCAGACUCCUACGGGAGGGAGCAGUAAGGAAUAUUGGUCAAUGGACGCAAGUCUGAACCAGCCAUGCCGCGUGCAGGAAGACGGUCCUCUGGAUUGUAAACUGCUUUUGUUAGGGAAGAAACCCUCGGAUGCGUCCGGGGCUGACGGUACCUAAAGAAUAAGGAUCGGCUAACUCCGUGCCAGCCGCCGCGGUAACAC